rnacentral:rRNA from 1 species
GAGUUUGAUCAUGGCUCAGGACGAACGCUGGCGGCGUGCUUAACACAUGCAAGUCGAGCGGAAAGGCUCCUUCGGGGGUACUCGAGCGGCGAACGGGUGAGUAACACGUGAGUAAUCUGCCCUUGGCUUUGGGAUAACUACCGGAAACGGUGGCUAAUACCGGAUACGACCACUCCUUGCAUGAGGUGGUGGUGGAAAGUUUUUUCGGCCAGGGAUGUGCUCGCGGCCUAUCAGCUUGUUGGUGGGGUAAUGGCCUACCAAGGCUUCGACGGGUAGCCGGCCUGAGAGGGUGACCGGCCACACUGGGACUGAGACACGGCCCAGACUCCUACGGGAGGCAGCAGUGGGGAAUAUUGGACAAUGGGCGGAAGCCUGAUCCAGCAACGCCGCGUGAGGGAUGACGGCCUUCGGGUUGUAAACCUCUUUCAGUACCGACGAAGCGCCGAUGAUGGUGGUGACGGUAGGUACAGAAGAAGCACCGGCCAACUACGUG